rnacentral:rRNA from 1 species
AACGCUAGCUACAGGCUUAACACAUGCAAGUCGAGGGGAAACGACAUCGAAAGCUUGCUUUUGAUGGGCGUCGACCGGCGCACGGGUGAGUAACGCGUAUCCAACCUGCCCACCACUUGGGGAUAACCUUGCGAAAGUAAGACUAAUACCCAAUGAUAUCUCUAGAAGACAUCUGAAAGAGAUUAAAGAUUUAUCGGUGAUGGAUGGGGAUGCGUCUGAUUAGCUUGUUGGCGGGGUAACGGCCCACCAAGGCAACGAUCAGUAGGGGUUCUGAGAGGAAGGUCCCCCACAUUGGAACUGAGACACGGUCCAAACUCCUACGGGAGGCAGCAGUGAGGAAUAUUGGUCAAUGGACGAGAGUCUGAACCAGCCAAGUAGCGUGCAGGAAGACGGCCCUAUGGGUUGUAAACUGCUUUUAUAAGGGAAUAAAGUGAGAGUCGUGACUCUUUUUGCAUGUACCUUAUGAAUAAGGACCGGCUAAUUCCGUGCCAGUAGCCGCGGUAAUACGGAAGGUCCGGGCGUUAUCCGGAUUUAUUGGGUUUAAAGGGAGCGUAGGCCGGAGAUUAAGCGUGUUGUGAAAUGUAGACGCUCAACGUCUGCACUGCAGCGCGAACUGGUUUCCUUGAGUACGCACAAAGUGGGCGGAAUUCGUGGUGUAGCGGUGAAAUGCUUAGAUAUCACGAAGAACUCCGAUUG